AUGAGAGUGAAAAUACCCGCUGUGGCAGACUUGAAGAAACCGCAUCAGUCCACCUCGAGUAAAACAGGAGGAGAAAGGAAGGGGAAAAAAUGUUCUGAACAAUGCGCGCCGGCUUUGUGUGGACCAUCUGUCAUUGUAUCGACAUUACAAGCAGCCCUCCUGCCCCCCCAAAAGAAUCCGAGUGAGACACCUGAAGAGCAGAAAACAGACAGCGAUCAUUCAGAGCCGCCACCCGUCUCUCGCCAAGCCGUGACUCAUGAUGUGAUCCGUCUGUGUGGAUGGGGUGUUUAUAUUGUGUCUCUUGAUGCUGACUUUAGUGAAUCCAUGAAGAUAAUUUCCAUCAGAUGCUGUUGCGGCCUAUUUUGA
rnacentral:lncRNA from 15 species